rnacentral:rRNA from 1 species
CGCUGGCGGCGUGCUUAACACAUGCAAGUCGAACGGGAUCCAUCAGGCUUUGCUUGGUGGUGAGAGUGGCGAACGGGUGAGUAAUGCGUGACCGACCUGCCCCAUACACCGGAAUAGCUCCUGGAAACGGGUGGUAAUGCCGGAUGCUCCGACUCCUCGCAUGGGGUGUCGGGAAAGAUUUCAUCGGUAUGGGAUGGGGUCGCGUCCUAUCAGGUAGUCGGCGGGGUAACGGCCCACCGAGCCUACGACGGGUAGCCGGCCUGAGAGGGCGACCGGCCACAUUGGGACUGAGAUACGGCCCAGACUCCUACGGGAGGCAGCAGUGGGGAAUAUUGCACAAUGGGCGCAAGCCUGAUGCAGCGACGCCGCGUGCGGGAUGACGGCCUUCGGGUUGUAAACCGCUUUUGAUCGGGAGCAAGCCUUCGGGUGAGUGUACCUUUCGAAUAAGCACCGGCUAACUACGUGCCAGCAGCCGCGGUAAUACGUAGGGUGC